AAACCGUUCAGGGGUAAACCUGAGGAACCUGAAAGAUCGAAUGGGGAGAUUCAUCGUCAGCGACGCUGGCCUCGCGGUGGUGCGCGAUACCCUAAACCUUUGCGUUUCGAGGUACGCCAUCGCCGGUGUUACGUCCGGUGUCGUCGUCGUGCACUUCUCCCCUAGUAGAACGUCGCGACCCGUUGGGUGCCGGUCUAAGACACGGAAAGGUAGACUGUCGCGUCGCGGUAAAACGUGUACGCGGUCAGACCUCCGAACGUUCGGCCGGCUGCCCGGCGGUACUCGCACGGUAUUUGGCCGCAUUUGAAUUUGCGUCGGGCCCGCCGCAAGCUCGGUUCAGCGUAUCCGGAGGUUACGGACCUAGUGCCGUCCCCGCGCUUAACCAGCUGUUGCCAGUCGGUGUCCUCUGACGGGCCAGAAUAAAUAAAAUACCGGUCAGCGGCGCUACUGCUUUGGGUACCCUCAGGACCCGUCUUGAAACACGGACCAAGGAGUCUAACAUGUGCGCGAGUCAUUGGGACAGAGAAGCCUAAAGGCGCAAUGAAAGUGAAGGUCGACCUCGCGUCGAUCGAGGGAGGAUGGGCCGCGUCACGGCGCGGCCUCGCACUCCCGGGGCGUCUCGUUCUCAUUGCGAGAAGAGGCGCACCCAGAGCGUACACGUUGGGACCCGAAAGAUGGUGAACUAUGCCUGGUCAGGACGAAGUCAGGGGAAACCCUGAUGGAGGUCCGUAGCGAUUCUGACGUGCAAAUCGAUCGUCGGAACUGGGUAUAGGGGCGAAAGACUAAUCGA
rnacentral:rRNA from 1 species